rnacentral:rRNA from 1 species
UACGUAGGGUGCAAGCGUUGUCCGGAAUUAUUGGGCGUAAAGAGCUCGUAGGCGGUCUGUCGCGUCGGCUGUGAAAUCCCGAGGCUCAACCUCGGGUCUGCAGUCGAUACGGGCAAACUGGAGUGUUGCGGGGGAGACUGGAAUUCCUGGUGUAGCGGUGAAAUGCGCAGAUAUCAGGAGGAACACCGGUGGCGAAGGCGGGUCUCUGGGCAACAACUGACGCUGAGGAGCGAAAGCGUGGGGAGCGAACAGG